UCAUGUUGAUAUCUGCAGUGCAAGGUGUGAGACUUUGACAGCAUUUUACUCUCAUUUGAAAACACACAUUAGAGAGGGGAAAAAAGUUGCAUGUCCUUACAGACAUUGUAGCAAGAGCUUUACAGUUUUAUCCACAUUCACAUCACACAUGAGUCGGAAACAUAAAAAUGGUGCUGAGGAAAAUUUGGCUGAGUCUGUUGUGAAUCCUGGUGUUUCCCAUGAGAGUGAACAGGAUCAGUCUGACAUGCAGAUUGAUCCUCCCUGUAAUGCAGGUGAUGAACAAGAGAUUUACCCAGAAAUUGCUGAUGAAUCACAGUUCUUUAAAAAUUUAGCCCUCUUUUAUUUGAAAUUGCAAGCAAAGUGUUUGCUUCCAUCCUCUGUCAUCCAAACAAUUAUUGAAGAUUUUCAGGAAAUACAUGAUAUAAGCCAGUCACAUUUGCUUUUCAAACUCAAAGAGAAAUUGAUUACAGUUGGGAUUUCUGAAGCAGACACAAACAAUGUGAUUGAAGUCAUGAAAACUGAGGAUCUCUUUAGGACCUGCAACACUCAGCCACUGAAAACUGAUCAGAAAAGAAAAACAGUUUUCAAGAACAGCUUCAACUAUGUUGAGCCAGUUCAGAUCUUUCUAGGUCAGAAUGAGGCAGGCAAAGAGUGUUUUGCCCAGUAUGUUCCUAUUAAACAGACAAUUGAUUCUCUAUUCCAUUGCCAGUCAGUGCAGGAACAAUAUAAGCAAGCACAUGCCAGUAUUGGUUCUAAGGAUAUUCUUAAGGAUGUGUGGGAUGGCAAAAAUAUGGCUGAGAAUGUGCUCUUCCAGACAGAGAGCUCAUCACUGGGCUUGAUCCUGUAUCAGGAUGCAUUUGAAGUGGUAAACCCACUGGGAUCUGGAAAGAAAAAACAUAAGAUACUUGCAGUGUAUCUAACUCUUGCAGAUUUAAUGCCACACAACAGAUCCAGCACUGAUCAAAUGCAACUUGUUCUUCUCUGUAAAGAACACGAUUUUAAGUAUUUUGGUCAAGACUUGGUUAUGGGCACUCUUGUCAAUGACCUUAAAGAUCUUGAGCUUAGUGGUGUUACCCUGUCUGAUGGAAAGGUUUACAAGGGAACUUUAUGUGCCAUUGCAGGCGACAACCUAGGCUCACAUAACAUAGGAGGCUUUGUGGAGAACUUCAGCAGGAGCUCACACUUCUGCAGAUAUUGUGAUAUCAGCAGAGAAGCAUUCCAUGCAGAUCCUCUUAUCCAGAGCACAAAACGCACAGUGCAGUCAUACAGUGGUCAUGUUCAGAGCAGUGAAGGACAGUCUACAUCUAGUGGAGGUGUUAAAUUUGACUCUGCAUUUAAUACGCU
ensembl:lncRNA